rnacentral:rRNA from 1 species
UACGGAGGGUGCAAGCGUUAAUCGGAAUUACUGGGCGUAAAGGGUGCGUAGGUGGUUUAAUAAGUUAUCUGUGAAAUUCCUGGGCUCAACCUGGGGCGGUCAGAUAAGACUGUUAGACUCGAGUAUAGGAGAGGGUAGUGGAAUUUCCGGUGUAGCGGUGAAAUGCGUAGAGAUCCGGAGGAACACCAGAGGCGAAAGCGGCGUCCUGGGGUGAGGUUGACGCUCAGACACGAAAGCAUGGGGAGCGAACGGG